AACUCUUAGCGGUGGAUCACUCAGCUUGUGCAUUGAUGAAGAACACAGCUAGCUGCGAGAAUUAAUGUGAAUUGCAGGACACAUUGAUCAUUGACACUUUGAAUGCAAUUGCACUGGUGUCUGAGCGUAG
rnacentral:rRNA from 1 species